GUAAUAUCAAACAUCACUGAGCUGUAAAAGUUGCUUGUGUUGUUUAAUUAUGAGUAAUCUGUGAUCAGUGGCUCUUUUUGUGAGAAAGAUCUACAACAAUGACACGAAAACUCUUUCUGGUCAUUGUGCUCUUUCUGGUGAUUGGUGAGCUGGUUGGUCAAUCAUCUGCUACUGAUGAUGGUGUUACCCUGUCUGAACUAUCCACUGCUCCGGCAGAGGCACUGAAGGACUUGGCCUAUGAGGGACACCUUCGUGUAAAGCGUGGAUGCAUGGAGAAGAGGUGGUAGAAGAGGUGGCAGAAGAGGAGGCAGAAGAGGAGGGAGAGGACGGGGACACCGUGGGAGAAAGGGAAAACCAGGAGGAGAGGGAGGAGGUUUUGCAGGAGGGGAUUCUUCAGGAGGGGGUGCAUCUUGCAAUGGUUAACAGAGAGAAUAGCAGCAAGGACACUGGAGAAGUCCUAAUAAUAUUUGGCAUGUCCAUAUUCAAGGUUGUACACAUUUAGUAUGACAUUAAUACUUUUUUGGGGGUAAUCUGUGAGGUGAUCAUCAUGCUUCCUAAGCUUGCCUCUCUUAAAAAAAAAUGGAAAAUAAAAAUGU